rnacentral:rRNA from 1 species
AACAAACGCUGGCGGCGUGCCUAACGCAUGCAAGUCGUACGAGAAAGGGUCCUUCGGGGCCUGAGUAAAGUGACGCACGGGUGAGUAACGCGUGGAUAAUCUGCCCUUCAGUUGGGAAUAACUCAUCGAAAGGUGGGCUAAUACCGAAUAAUGCUGUGAGACCUCGGUUGAUCAGCCAAAGAGAGCCUCUGCUUGCAAGCCCUCGCUGAAGGAUGAGUCCGCGUACCAUUAGCUAGUUGGUAGGGUAAUGGCCUACCAAGGCGACGAUGGUUAGCUGGUCUGAGAGGAUGAUCAGCCAAACUGGAACUGAGACACGGUCCAGACUCCUACGGGAGGCAGCAGUGAGGAAUCUUGCGCAAUGGGGGCAACCCUGACGCAGCAACGCCGCGUGAGUGAGGAAGGUCCUCGGAUCGUAAAGCUCUGUCGGAUGGAAAGAACCGCAUAGGGGUAAACAGCCCCUGUGUCUGACGGUACCAUCAAAGGAAGCACCGGCUAACUCCGUGCCAGCCGCCGCCGUAACAC